GGAGGAACAUGUGGUUUAAUUCGAUGAUACGCGAGGAACCUUUACCCGGGCUUGAAAUGCAUCUGACGUAGGCAGAGACGUCUAUUCCCUUCGGGGCAGAUGUGUAGGUGCUGCAUGGUUGUCGUCAGCUCGUGCCGUGAGGUGUCGGCUUAAGUGCCAUAACGAGCGCAACCCUCAUCAUUAGUUACCAACAGGUCAAGCUGGGGACUCUAGUGAGACUGCCAUCGUAAGAUGUGAGGAAGGUGGGGAUGACGUCAAAUCAGCACGGCCCUUACGUCCGGGGCGACACACGUGUUACAAUGGGUGGUACAAAGGGCAGCUACCUGGCGACAGGAUGCUAAUCUCGAAAACCACUCUCAGUUCGGAUCGGAGUCUGCAACUCGACUCCGUGAAGCUGGAUUCGCUAGUAAUCGCGCAUCAGCCAUGGCGCGGUGAAUACGUUCCCGGGCCUU
rnacentral:rRNA from 1 species